GACGAACGCUGGCGGCGUGCUUAACACAUGCAAGUCGAACGGAAAGGCCCCUUUGGGGGUACUCGAGUGGCGAACGGGUGAGUAACACGUGAGUAACCUGCCCUUGACUUCGGGAUAACUUCAGGAAACUGGGGCUAAUACCGGAUAGGAAUCCUUGCUGCAUGGUGGGGGUUGGAAAGCUUCGGCGGUUUUGGAUGGACUCGCGGCUUAUCAGCUUGUUGGUGGGGUAGUGGCUUACCAAGGCUUUGACGGGUAGCCGGCCUGAGAGGGCGACCGGCCAAAUGGGACUGGGGGAAGGGCCCGGAAUCUACCGGGGGGCAGCAGGGGGGAUAAUUGCACAAGGGGCGGAGGCCGGUGGAGGCAAGGCGGGGGGCGGAAGACGGGCUUUGGGUUGUUAACCGCUUUCAGCAGGGGCGAAGCUUGUGGUGACGGUACCUGCAGAAGAAGCACCGGCUAACUACGUG
rnacentral:rRNA from 1 species